UAUUCCAUGGUCCAUAAUCCAUGUGAACAGAUGUACAAUGGGAAACAUCUUUGUUAUUCCAACCCUGGGGAAUUUCUUUCAUCAACCUGCAGCAGAGACCUUAAUGAGGCUGCGGUCUACCUGAAAAGGUUGUCCAAACACCGCAUGGAGCACCAGAAUUAGGAUGCUAAAGGCAGCCCCAUACAGUCUUGAUGCUCAGUACUUCCACCAUGGGCUCUGUCCACCCUGCUCUCUGCGUCGAGAUCCAGCCCUUCAAUUUUCACUAGGCAAAUUUGAGACCAGAAGUAAGGCCUUGCACACGGAAGGCUGCGACAGUAGUGGUUAAAAGAAUAAUAUGAUUAAAACCGUGGCAAAAUCCUCCUGCUUUCAAGAAACCCUAUCAGACUUGUUUCCAGUUUUUCCUGUUCUAUUAAGCACCUGUUGACUGGCCUUGGUGAUGGUGCCUGUUCACCACUGCUCGCCCGUUCCUGUAAGAGAAUCAUGCAAUCCCUGCACUUUGGCCUCUGGUCUUAUAAGCCACCUCAAAUAUCUCAUAAUAUGGAUGUAAAAUACUGAAAAUAACUUAGAACAUGUACGUUUCUCCAUCACAUGCGGUCAUCGGGAGCCGGGAAGCGGAAGCUCCUAUAUGUACUCAGAUCUAGAACCGUCACCGUGCUGUGGGACUCAGCCUCUCCCACUACGUUGGCUGCAUGGCACUGCUUCCAUCAAUUACAAAUCACGCUAUGGACCAUGCAGCGGGAUGUGCACACCAGCUCGUUUUAAACUCAUGCCAAUCGUGGGGAAAGGCGCCUCCUGAACCACAUAGAUGCUGGGAUGCUGCCUCCAGCAGAGCCCUAACUGGUGUUCUAGUGGCUCGCUGUGGUGACAAUCAGAAGGACCUGGAUACCAACGGGAGACUCAAUCAGUGUGGUUUACUUUUGUUCAUGUAAAGUCAAAUUUUAACUGAUUUCAUCAAUCCCUUCAGGCCUAAAUGAAUAAGCCACAAUCUCACCAACUGCCAGAUGGUGGUGCUACCCUAGGUUACCCAGCAUUAAAGGGUGCAGUGAAGAGGCAACGAGCCCAGCGCUCUGGCUCCAGAACCGAAGCUCUUCUGAACCACUGUGCUAACACCAUCCUGCCUUUUCCCUAGAAGACCCUUCCAGGUACACUACCCUUUAAUCCUCACGCCAGCCCUGUAAGAUAGCUGCUUGCACCCCCAUUUUACAGAUGAGAAAACCAAGACUCAGAAAGGUGAAGUGUGUGGAGGAACAGGGACUCAAACCCAGGCACCAUGAUUCCAUUCGCUUCCACACUGGUUUCUAAAGUGGAACAUUUUUUAUCUGUAUGGUCUCUGUUCCAGAAUAAGAGAUGAGUUGCUUAGGGAUUGUGUUGGGGGAUCCCCAAGACAACUCUCCAGUUCAGUGAUUUCCUAGGAAGACUAGGAGGACUCAGGGGACUCAGCAUACAGUGGCACUCAGGCUGUGAUUUAUUAUAGUGAAAGGAUUUUCCCAUCUGGCAAAAUCAGCCAAGGGAAAAAGUCAGGGUGGAGGAAGCAGGCACAAGCUUCCAAGAGCCCUCUCCGUGGAGUGACAACCAUGUGAAAUGCUGUCCACCGGAGAUGCUCAAGAGGGACUCGGUGCCCAGGGUUUCUAUUGGGAGCUGGCCAUAGAUGCACUCUCUGCCUAACUGAGUACCAAAAUUCCACACUCCGAGAAGGAAAGCAGGUGUUCAGCAUAAACCACAUUGUACAGUUCAGGCACAGUGAGCCACUCUCAUCAAUUCCGAGAAUAGUGGAAUCCCCUGAAAUCUAAGUCCCCAGAUACCAGCCAAGGGCCAACCUUGCCAGCAGGUCUUUCUGAGGAUAUGGUCACAGGCCUGCCACAUUAGCUGUUUUUUACACAACAAUGAAACACCCCAAACAUCACCCUCAGGGAACAGCUCUUGUGAAGAUACCCCAUAGCAUAAGCAAUGUAUCCUUGACACCAGCAGGACACUUCCAGUCCCUACUAUCUCCAGGGGCUCAUUCCAGCAUGGCACUGGAACGUUCAAUGUCAAGACUGCCACCUCAGGCAGGAAGAACAGCGUGGUGAGCAGGAGUGGAAGAGUCCAGGUUCAAAUCCUUUCUCUGCCAGGUCUCAGCCUUUGCCUCAGUUUCUUCUUCUUUAAAAGGGGCCCA